AGUGAACGCUGGCGGUAGGCCUAACACAUGCAAGUCGAACGGCAGCACAGUAAGAGCUUGCUCUUACGGGUGGCGAGUGGCGGACGGGUGAGGAAUACAUCGGAAUCUACUUUUUCGUGGGGGAUAACGUAGGGAAACUUACGCUAAUACCGCAUACGACCUACGGGUGAAAGCAGGGGAUCUUCGGACCUUGCGCGAUUGAAUGAGCCGAUGUCGGAUUAGCUAGUUGGCGGGGUAAAGGCCCACCAAGGCGACGAUCCGUAGCUGGUCUGAGAGGAUGAUAAGCCACACUGGAACUGAGUCACGGUCCAGACUCCUACGGGAGGCAGCAGUGGGGAAUAUUGGACAAAGGGCGCAAGCCUGAUCCAGCCAUACCGCGUGGGUGAAGAAGGCCUUCGGGUUGUAAAGCCCUUUUGUUGGGAAAGAAAAGCAGCAGGUUAAUACCCCGCUGUUCUGACGGUACCCAAAGAAUAAGCACCGGCUAACUUCGUG
rnacentral:rRNA from 1 species